rnacentral:tRNA from 1 species
GCACUCGUAGCUCAAUUGGAUAGAGCAUCGGUCUACGGAACCGAAGGUUAUAGGUUCGAAUCCUAUCGAGUGUA